AUGAUUGGUUACGUUGCCGGCGAUAUAAAAGUUAUAGAAUCACAUUUCCUUCUUUCUCUACCAAGGCGAAGGAAGGCUUCGCCGUUGUUUAACUCCGACCAACAUCAGCGUCACCCUCGGUCACGAAGUUGGCAACAUGUCUAAAGGACCGGCAGUUGCCAUUGAUCUCGGGAGCACCUACUCCUGCUUGGAUGUGUUCCAGCAUGGCAAGGUUGAAAUCAUUGCCAACGACCAGUGCAACAGGACCACUUCAAGUUGUGUUUCCUUCAGACUCAGACUUAUUGGUAAUGCCGUCAAUAAUCGGGUUACCAUGAACCCUGCCACACAGUAUUCGACAGUCAACAAUGUAGUCGUUCCCGUGCCUGCUUAAUUCAACAACUCCCAGUUCCAGGCAUCGAAAGAUGCUGGCACCAUCUCAGGCCUGAAUGUACUGCAUAUCAUCAAUGAGCCAACUGCUGCUGCCAUUGCCUACGGCUUGGAUAAGAAGCAAGGAGGACAUUGGGUGCAUGGUCCAGGAGGCUGAGAAGUACAAGUGUGAGGAUGAUGUGCAGCGUGACAAGGUUCCCUGGAGUCCUACUCUUUCAACAUGAAGUCUACUGUGGAGGAUGAGAAACUGCAGGGCAAGAUCAGUGACGAGGACAAGACCAAGAUUCUGGACACGUGCAACAAGGUCAUCGGCUGGCUUGACAAGAACUAGGUGUAUGAGGGUGAGGGCCAUGACCAAGGACAAAAACCUGUUGGGCAUGUUUGAGCUGACUAGAAUCCCCCCUGCACCUCGAUGUUCCUCAGAUUGAGGUCACCUUUGACAUUGACGCUAACGACAUCAUGAAGGUGUCUGAAGCUGACAAGCACACUGGCAAGGAGGACAAGAUCACUAUCACCAAUGACAUGGACUGCUGAGAAGUAAGAGUAUGAGCACCACCAGAAGGAGCAUCACCAAGUUGUACCAUGGUGCUGGUAUGCUCGACAGCAUGGCUGGUGGAUUCCCCGGAGCUGGUGGCGCGGCUCAUGGAGGCGGUGGGUUAUCUUGACUGACUUGAGGAAGUCGACUAAACCAUUCCACUGUUUCUGCAACUACCUCACAAGCAACGUUUGAAAUGUUCUACCUGUUUGUGACGGAGUCAGUGACUCUUGUCAGUGAGAUUUUAAAGUUAGAAAAAAGGUUGCCUGAUCACACUUCUAUUGCAACUUUGUUUGCUACACAACAGAACAGUAAUUUUCUGUUUGCUCAACUAAGCUGUCAGAUUUCACAUGGAGUAUAUUGUGCCUUUAAGGCACAAUGCCUUAAAGACAAAAUAAAACAUGGUGACCUUCCACUGCAACUUCUAAAUGUUGAUCUCAAGUGCUUUUACCACUGUUCAGAGCUUUUGAUAAGGUCCUUAUUUUGGUUAAUAUUGUUAUGACAAAGUUUAAUCUCACUUGUGACUUCCCAUAACAAACUUCCAGCUGCUAGACCAGUGUCAAUGUUUGUGGUCCUACCACUAAAUAUUAUAGAUAUUUUGCAGCGGCAAUCAUCCAGUUUCUCAAUAACCAUGUUUCGUGCCACAGUUAUGCAAGUAGUUGUAUCCAUUAAAAUGUGAUGAAGUUUAUGGUGUCAUUUUAUAAAUGCUGACUGAAUUUGUUCGUUAUACAUCUCGUGUCGGUAAAAUGUAUUGUGGGAAAUGGCAGUGGAAACACCUUUACGCGCAAGUAUGGUCCUCCCUCUAUGACUGGGGUGGGUAGGCUAAUGUAGAUUAGUCUACCCGCACUAUAUGCGAGCUGUUGGCUAGGCACAUUUGCUAUUUACUGCAAGUUUUUGUGAUGACUAUCAGCCUUAAAUGCGACAUAGUUAGCUGUACAUUCUUAUUCGGGACAAACUUACACGAAACAGUACAUUUAGUGUGCUGUUUAUCUGCAUAUAGUCCCAUUUGGUGGAAGUAAGAGUAUGAGCACCACCAGAAGGAGCAUCACCAAGUUGUACCAUGGUGCUGGUAUGCCCGACAGCAUGGAAGUCGACUAAACCAUUCCACUGUUUCUGCAGCUACCUCCCCCUCACAUUGACUUCAAUUGCUUUGCAGAUAGAUUUAGAAAAUGGUUAUUGCGGUUUCUGUCAGACUACAUAUGGUAGGGUAAUUUUGCUGAAUUAUCCCAAUGUAGUAACUCAGUCUAUCGUUGGUAGAUUUAUUUCAACAGCACAAUUUACUUGAUGCAUUUGAUGAUACUUUUUGAUGCAAAGUUUAUUUAGAAAUGUAUGGAUGCAAGGAAAGAAUGAUGGUGCAUGAGAAACAUGAUAGUUUUAAUACAAAUUACACGCGUUCAGCUUUCAAACAAGGAACAGUACUGCCCUAUUGCACAGCUCUUGUAUCUGUCUUUAAUAAGCAAAGCGCAGCAGCUCUUAUGGUGUGGUGGCCAAUUAUAUCUUAAAUGUC